rnacentral:rRNA from 1 species
GACGAACGCUGGCGGCGUGCCUAAUACAUGCAAGUCGAGCGGACGAAUGGGAGCUGGCCCCCAACCCGCAGCGGGCGGACGGGUGAGUAACAGGGGGGCACCUUGCCUGUAAGACUGGGAUACCUCCGGGAACCCGGGGCUAAUCCCGGUUAACUCUUUCCCCGACUUGAGGGAAGGCGGAAGGGUGGCACCUCGCAACCACUUCCAGUUGGGCCCGCGGCGCAUUAGCUAGUUGGUGAGGUAACGGCUCACCAAGGCGACGAUGCGUAGCCGACCUGAGAGGGUGAUCGGCCACACUGGGACUGAGACACGGCCCAGACUCCUACGGGAGGCAGCAGUAGGGAAUCUUCCGCAAUGGACGAAAGUCUGACGGAGCAACGCCGCGUGAGUGAUGAAGGUUUUCGGAUCGUAAAACUCUGUUGUCAGGGAAGAACAAGUACCGGAGUAACUGCCGGUACCUUGACGGUACCUGACCAGAAAGCCACGGCUAACUACGUG